rnacentral:rRNA from 1 species
GAUCCUGGCUCAGAAUCAACGCUGGCGGCGUGCCUCAGACAUGCAAGUCGAACGCGAAAGUCCCCUUCGGGGGACAAGUAGAGUGGCGCACGGGUGAGUAACACGUAGGUAAUCUACCUUCGGAUGGGGAAUAACAAUCGGAAACGGUUGCUAAUACCGCAUAAUGCAGCGGCACCUAAUGGUGACAGUUGUUAAAGCGGGGGAUCGAAAGACCUCGCGUCUGAAGAGGAGCCUGCGGCGGAUUAGCUAGUUGGUAAGGUAAUGGCUUACCAAGGCUACGAUCCGUAACCGGCCUGAGAGGGCGGUCGGUCACACUGACACUGACAUACGGGUCAGACUCCUACGGGAGGCAGCAGUCGGGAAUUUUGGGCAAUGGGCGAAAGCCUGACCCAGCAACGCCGCGUGAAGGAUGAAAUCCCUCGGGAUGUAAACUUCGCAAGAACAGGAAGAAUAAGUAGGGGACAAUACCCCCUAUGAUGACGGUACUGUUUGUAAGCUCCGGCUAACUCCGUGCCAGCAGCCGCGGUAAUACGGGGGGAGCAAGCGUUGUUCGGAUUUACUGGGCGUAAAGGGCGCGUAGGCGGCCAGCACAAGUCAGUUGUGAAAUCUCCGAGCUUAACUCGGAAAGGUCAACUGAUACUGUGCGGCUAGAGUGCAGAAGGGGCAACUGGAAUUCUCGGUGUAGCGGUG